rnacentral:rRNA from 1 species
UACGUAGGGGGGCUAGCGUUGUCCGGAUUUAUUGGGCGUAAAGAGCGUGUAGGCGGCCAGGUAGGUCUGCUGUGAAAACUCGAGGCUCAACCUCGAGACGUCGGCGGAAACCAUCUGGCUAGAGUCCGGAAGAGGAGAGUGGAAUUCCUGGUGUAGCGGUGAAAUGCGCAGAUAUCAGGAAGAACACCCGUGGCGAAGGCGGCUCUCUGGGACGGUACUGACGCUGAGGAGCGAAAGCGUGGGUAGCAAACAGG